rnacentral:tRNA from 1 species
GCGUUCUUAGCUCAGAUUGGUUAGAGCACUACUUUGACAUGGUAGAGGUCGAUGGUUCAAGUCCAUUAGAACGCA